rnacentral:misc_RNA from 1 species
GAAAUGCGAUACGUAAUGUGAAUUGCAGAAUUCAGUGAAUCAUCGAAUCUUUGAACGCACAUUGCACUCUCUGGUAUUCCGGAGAGUAUGCUUGUUUGAGUAUCUGUAAACAUCUCAAAUCUCUCUUCGCUUGCGUCGAGAGAAUUGGAUUUGAGCGAUCCCGACUCCUUCGUCAGAAAGAGGAGGGUCGCUUGAAAUGCAGGUACCAGCUGGACAUUCUUCUGAGCUAAAAGCAUAUCUAUUUAGUCCCGUCAAACGGAUUAUUACUUUUGCUUCAGCUAAUAUAAAGGUCGAAUGAACUACCAACGCUGAUUGCAGGAAAACUUGUUCGUUUAUUCGGACUUGUAAACUCGAUCUCAAAUCAAGUAAGACUACCCGCUGAACUUAA